rnacentral:tRNA from 1 species
GGCUGUGGCUCAGUGGUAGAGUACUUGCAUAGGAUGCAUGAGGCACUGGGUUCAAUCCUCAGCACCA